UAAACACACUUUGACUUUGACUUUGACUUUGGCCUCCUUUACCGCUACCUGCCGCUACUCAGACUACUGCCUAUGACUACUGCGCACUGUACUCCCUCUCAGCCUUGUUUUAAUUUGAUUAAUUUCACCUUAUUACUUGAUUUCAACCAUGGUAAACCGUUGCUGUAUUGUGGGCUGUAACAGCGCAACACAUGAUCGCCAUGGGAAAAAGAUAGAAAAUGGGUUAACUUUCCACCGCUUUCCUGCCUGGAGGCGCAACCACGGAGACCAAGUGUCGGAGAUAACGAAGAGUCGUCGGCUCGCUUGGAUCGCGGCUGUAAGACGACCGAACAUAACUUUCCACAGUAUCCCGAUGUCGAUGAGAGUGUGUUCCCUGCAUUUUCAUUCUGGUAAGUUAAAGAUGCACGAUUUUAUUUUUAUAGCCUAGAUCUACGUUGUUUCUUUCCUUCAACCGCGACACCACAUACAUGAAUGCGCGCCCACACAAACAUAACAUAACAUAACAUCAGAGACGGUUGAUAUAGCAUUUCAUCCUCAUUGGUUGAUAUAGCAUUUGAUAUAGCAUUUCAUCCUCGUUGGUAGAACACACUGCCAGUUCUUACAAGGGCAGGGACAUCCCUCUCCAUUUUCAAAAAACUCCUGAAGACCCAGCUCUUUGGAGAACAACAUCUCUCAUAGCACCACUUACAAGUCUUGCUGAUCCUAGCACUUACCAGCCGUCUUGAACUGACACUCAACUGUUUAAAAACAGCACUCAUUGAUGCACUUAUUCUUACUGUACUCUACCGUUUUUAAAUUGUCCUAAAAUUGUUGAGAGAAUUGAUUUAAAACUUAACUGUUACCAUGUUGUUAGUCUCUUUGGUUAAAAAUGCGUCAGCCAAAUGUAAUGUAAUGUAAUCAUACAAUAUAAUAAUAUGUAUAUUAAGGAUCUUUCAUAACAUUAUGGUUCUAUAUGUUUUCAACACUUCUGCUAUGGAUAAUCAUUUUUAAAUUGUGUUACCAGGAAAACCAGCAAAUGAAAUGUACAACUCGCAUCCGGAUUGGGCACCAUCACUACACUUGGGCCACACUGAGAUGAAGGCCACAAAGACUGCACGCUAUGAGAGACAGAACAAAAGAAAACGGCAAAGGACUGACAGUACACCUGCGAUGGAUGAGACAGUUAUUGAUGACCUUGUUCCACCAGUGGAGACACCAGCACCAGCAGAGGAUGGAGCUGACCAGACACUGCUGACAGAAUGUGACUUCUGUCAGCGUCGGCGUGCUGAAAUCAACCGGCUGCUGGAAGAGAACAGGACCCCUGAAAUGUGAGCUUGGCCAGAGAAAAAUGGAUGAACAUUUCCUGAAGGAUGACAACGUCAAAGUGAAAUACUACACUGGACUUCCACACCUUGAAGUUGUCAUGGGUGUUCUAGCCUGUGUUGGAUCGUACAUGACACAGAGUAGUAAAGUUCUGUCACCUUUUCAGAUGCUUUUCCUGACCCUCAUGCGCCUUAGACUAAACUUACCUUUACAACACAUUGCCCACCUCUUUUGUGUAGACAGAAAAACUGUUUCCAAAACGUUCAGUGACACCAUAAAUGUUCUGCAUGCGCGCACCAGCCCUUUGAUUAACUGGCCAGGGCGAGAUGCGUUGCAUGCAACUAUGCCCCAUCAGUUUGUGGAGGCCUUUGGGAAGCGUGUUGCUGUUAUUCUGGACUGUUUUGAAAUAUUCAUACAGACACCAUCAAAUCUUAAAGCUCAAGCUCAGUCAUAUUCCCACUACAAACACAACACAACUAUGAAGUUCCUUAUUGGUAUUACACCACAGGGCUCAAUUUCUUUCAUUUCCAAGGAAUUGGGGGGACGCGUCAGUGAUAAGCACGUAACUGAUAACUGUGGGAUUCUGGACAAACUGUUACCUGGGAAUUUGGUGUUGGCUGACCGCGCCUUUGACAUACAGGACAGUGUAGGACUUAUGUGUGCCGAAGUAAAGAUCCCUGCUUUCACAAAAGGACGCAGUCAGCUGGAUGCAAGAGACGUGGAGAGCACAAGAAAAAUUGCCCACCUCCGAAUUCAUGUGGAAAGGGUGAUCGGAACCGUCCGCAACAAGUACACCAUUUUGUCAGCUAAAGUACCUAUUCACAUGGUGUUGCCAUGCAAGGAUGAAGACAUGACAUUUCUUGAUAAGAUUGUGUCUGUAUGUUGUGCUCUGACAAACAUGAGCCCUAGUGUUGUGCUGAAAUAAAUGUGCAUCUGGUUU